CUCAAACACUAUAUGAUUCUUUCUGUCUCCUGCAUGGUGAUAAGUGUACCCAAAUACUGCUCCAACCGAUCCAUGUGGUCUGACAGAAGCUGCAAUUGGACACACUUCCUGCAGUUGUAGUCAUCAGGGAUAUUUGAACUGCCUCUGAUAUCCCACAUUCUGCAGGAGAAACAUACUCCCCUGGUGACUGCCAUUUUUACCCCCUUGCAACUAUUUAAUUAAAAAUAAAUUUGUUAAAUUAAUUUACAGCUUACUGGAUGGACCCUCAUGUUAGAUUCUCACUAAAGAAUACUAAAUGCACUAUUCAGUAAACAACAGUCUAGGUACUAUUCUAAAUCCCAGUACUGUCCUACUGUACCACUAGCCUAAGUCCCACUACUCUCAAAUCUUAUGGGUAUGAAAAGGUUAAUGGAAAUUGAAGGUAAGAAAAAUAAAUCACCUGACCACUACUUACCAGUUGGGAGUCUUUCUGUUCAAAACGUCACAUUUGAGCUUGCACCGUGACAGAGUGUAGCUCCCAUGAUACUGUCCAUGUCAUGGGUCAAGGUCAAUGCCCCGUGCUAAAGUUUUUACCUGCUCCAACUGCUGGUGUCUUCCUCCAGCCUCUCUGGUUCUGGUUCUGGUUCCUGGCUGCUGAUCAGGGUAAGGCUGCUGAAGAGGAUAAAGUCUGAUACAAAGUAUUUAUUCAACUCCUCUGCCGUUUCCUGGUUUUCCCAUUUUUGUUUCCCUAACCUUGUGCUCACAGGAUCCUGUGUUCACUUUGGCUCCUUUCUUCCUUUUUAUAUAUUGAAAGAAGCUCUUGCUGUCUGUUUUGCCAUUACUUGCAAGUUUAUUUUUUAAGUUUGCCUUCUACCUCUUUAUUAAUUUCUUGGCUGUCUUUUAUUUAAAACUUGCCCCAUCCUCUAAUCCACUAACCUUUGCCGAAUUGUAUGUUUUAUCUUCAAUUUGAUGAUGAACUUCCCUGGUUAACCAUGGUUGGCUUAUCCCCUUCCGAAAUCCUUCGUCCGCACUGAGAUAUGUCUUUACUGUGAGCCAUGGACUAUUUUCUUAAAUGCCAAUCCUCAACGGUCUUUACUGCUGAACUCCUUUCCCAGUCCACUCCAGCCAGCUGUGCCCUCAUUCCUUUGUAAUUAUCCUUAUUUGAGUUUAGCACAGUUGUUUCUGACACAAGUUCCUCCCUCUCAAACUGCUGAAUUCUGCCAUGUUAUGGUCACUGUUUCUAAGAGGAUCUUUUAUUCUGGCAUCAUUAUUAAACCUGCCUCAUUACACAUCACCAGAUCCAAAAUAGUAUUAGGAUUAAGGAAUUUUUUUUAAACAGUGAACUAGACAAAAUUUUUUUUUAUUUAUGAAGGCAAUUAUUAACCUGUUGUAGAUUCCAGUUGCACUGCUUUCCAUUUCCAAAAACUAAUUUGUGUCUUCGUCUUAGCAUGAGUGCCUGUAAUGUGAACUGCAAUCCAAAUGGUCUGAGCUAUGUUGAAGCCUUUGGAUGCUGGAGGAGACCAGGGCUCACUAAUACCAGCCAGUGUCUCUGGUUCAUUGGUUUUGGUCGUCUCAGCUUUUGAAGAGCAGCUGGAUUCUCAGAGCAAGGCGCCACAAUGCAGACAGAGGUGAUGGCAACUCCAUCAGCAGCAGUUGCCCCGUCACAAUGAGGUGCAACACCUGGAGCAAGACACAGCAUUUUCUCCAGAAUGGAUACGGUGUAUACAUGUGAAGAUCAGUUUGGUUGGAUAUGCUGAAAUGUAGUCAUUCGCAAGUUUAAUGUGGUCAAAAGAAUCAGCAAUUCUGAUCUUUAGUGGAGGUGAUUCUGGUGUCAGUAUCGUAAGAGGUGAUGUAUGCAAUGGAAAGUGACAAUGCUACACAGACCAAUGUAAAGCUCAUUCUAUACAGUUACGCUAUUAUUGCUAAUGCAUAUACACCAUCCAUGUUCUCGAUUUGAAAAGCAUCUGACAUCUAAUGAAACUACCUACGUUCCAUUGCAAAUAAUACCAAACUGUCAUCAUUAAUUUGAGUGAGCAUGCCCCUAUUUUGUUCAAUGCUUUGGUGACUUUUGCUAUUUUUCAUAUUGUGUUGAUUGUGAAAUAUCUUGUGCCAAUUUUGGGGGAAAUUUGAUGUUGAGAAGACAGUAACUGCCCGUGCAACUUUUUACUUUGUUCUUGCUUUACAAUCAGCAGUUUACAUACUAAAUAAUUCUGCCUUUAGCCCUGGCUCAUUGUAUAGCGUGGUAAUAUUGUCAGGUUGGGCUAUGGCUAAGCCAAAAGUUUGAAAUUCUAAGUUCUAUCUUUGUGAGACACCAUACUUCAAGACUUUGUCUUCCAUUUUCAUUCAGAACGUUCCAAAAUCAUUGUGUUGCAAUGUGAGAUUAGGAGUAAGGCAAAGCAGAAGGACAGCUGACCAGAGAGAAUUGGCCCAGGACAGGAAGAUGUGCAAGUGGGCCCAUGACAGGAGCUUUAAAUCUGAGAUUUCAGUGUCAGCCCCCUGUGAAAAGAAAGUUUUUGGCUUAAAGGCACCUCAUUCCAGUCCUGUUUUCGAGCCUUUUCUGACUUUGGGAAAGAGCUGGAUUUACUUUGCUGUUGAUUAGCUGGAUAUAUUAGUGUUUCACUUUCAGUUAAACCAUUUCAGUAGCAAGGGUUCUAGACUGUUAGUCAUGCCACUGAGACCUGCUGGCAGAUGACAGCAUUUCUUCUUUGUGGUGUCUGCUUAUUUGUUUUAUAGUUUCAUCCUCCUAAGGAUGAAGAAAACCUUAAAAUGGGAUUGUAUUGUUGCGACUUCACCCAAAAGCAGCCUAUGGGGAGAUUUGCCUGGGCCUUCACCUAGACAUUGCACCUGAGAGCACUGAACUCUGGACAGUCACUAAGCUAGCUGAGAGUUCAGAGCUAGGAAAUCUCCCCUCCUAUUUUAGGUUUUUUUUAAAAUCCAGGCAUCUUUUGUAACCCAUCUCCUUAAAAAUGGUGAUAUUUCAAACAAUGGAGAAUGCAUCACAGUUGCUGAUGUCACAAUGAUUCUUUGUGUCCUGAGUAUUGUGUUGGUUGAUAAGGGUUGGUAUGUCUUGUAGCUGGUUGAAUUAGUGAUAGUUAUCAUGAUGAGAUUUGCAGUUUCCAAAUGAAAUAGGAGGCCAAUUAUACUGGAUGAUGGGCCCUUUAUGGCUUUCUGGUCCAGACACCAUUUCAUUGAUUGCUGUGUAGAGAGGGGUCCCAAGGGAUAUCAUAUUGCUGUCAAGAAAGUUAACUUCCCAAUGAAUUUGUUUAGAAGAGAACUUUUGAGUAAAAGCUCAUGCAUGAUUCAAAUUCAGUUUUUAUAUUGAAAGUAAAAUGCAAUGAUUUACAUGAAGUUUUGGGUCUUUCACUCCCCUAAAAAGAAUGAUAGAAGCCACUAUCCAUUUGGAUAUUUGGGUCCCUUUGUUUCAUAAUAUUUUGUUAAAAUGCUGACCAUUUAGAUACCAAGAAGAAGUUGGUCACAUUGUCCUGCCCCAUAACCCUGCAGAAUAGCAAAAUUAUUGCAGAUCAAAUAUAUAAUUUCUCCACUCAUGAGAUUGGGAAGAUUUAAUGAUUUAACCUUCUACUGUUUAACCCAGAAAUGUAUCAAACUUAAAGAUUUCUUUCUUGAGUUUAUUUCUAAAACAACAAUUCAAAGUUUUAACCUAGUAAAGAGAUUAUUAGCAGAGUGACAUGAUUGUUAUUGGGUUGUAGACAUAGAAAUGCAUCCUGCUGUCUUCAUCCCAAACACAGACAUGUCCCUAGAUGCAGACGGACAUGCACUGGCAUGCACACUGGCACACCCAUUUGCAGGAACAAAUAUAUCCACGCAAACUGUUUAAAAUGAAUUAUCAUUUUAGGUUAGAGGAUUGCUUGCUGACUAGCCACAGUUCACACGUACAGUUACCAUAGAUCACAGUGUACAAGUCAAUCUUUGAAGUCUCUCAUUCCUUCCAAAAAUGGUGCCAACUUGUACGUCAGGGAUAAAAUGUGAACAGCUGGCAUUGGUGCAGAUGCUUGUUGUUUUAAAAUGAGAAAAAAUUUCAAAUGAAAUCAUUGUGACAUUUUUUAUUGAAUUAAUUACUUGCACUAGGUUACCUUCAGCCACAUUCAAUAUGUUUUUUUUAAAAAAAGCAUUAAAUUGAUUGUCUCCAGUAUCACUGCGAGGUGAUCAUCAUUUUGGUCCGAAUCACUUCAGCUAUGGCUUUAUCAUAAGGAUCCUCCUCUGGAACAGUGUAGCGUUUUUGGUUUUUGAAUCAUCUGCACCAGAAUUCAUUUUGCUUGCCAUCCAUUGAAUUGCAUAUUCUGCAACUUUUGAAAGAUCUGAUGACAGUUUGUGCAUUAAUAGCAUCCAACAAUUUGAUGACAAAACCACACACAGCAUCAAGUGGGAUAACAUGCCUGUUUCCACUCUUUGUAGAGGUUUCUUUUUCUCCAUCCAUCCACUUAUUCCAAUUGCAAAAACAUGAUUUUUCACUGGUUUGUUGAGGCACGCAUCCAAAGAUUGGCCUCCAGACAUUUGAUCCCAGUAUAAUUACAACCUGGGUGUUAAUUCUUCACAGCUGUCUCUUAACCUUAUUGGAUUUAUGUGAUCUGAGCAUGACUUGCACCAAAAAGCUAUUAUUUACAUAGGCUGCCAGGAUGUGUGCUCCAACCUUAUCAAGCCAUAGCUCUACUUCAUCUGACCAUAGUCACAGACAUGCACAAAAAGUCCUGCAGAAACUUGACUUUGGCAUGAUUUACAUUUGAAGUUUACCAUAGCCUGUAAUUUUAUUCAAUUUGCCACGCAGCCUAGUACCACCAUCAAUCUUUUUCUCAUGUCUUGUAGUUUUUACUAGAAUUGUUUUUGCACUAUUUUACUCCAUAGUUCAGUUGUUGGGCAUAUUGCAAUGCGUAAGCAUUUCAUUUUUAUUUCAUAAAGUGGCUACACCAACAGCUGUUGCUCUGAAUCUUUGCUGCACUGUGUUUGAUUUGGUCUUUGCUGGACUCAGUUUGAUUUAGCCCACUUAAGCGCACAUAUAUGUGUGCCAGCAACAUGGAUUCAAUUCCCGCACCAGCUGAGGUUACUUCUUAACCCCUCCCUUUGCCUGAGGCAUGGUGACCCUCAGAUGAAACCAUCACCAGUCCUAUCUCUUGAAUGAGAGAGUAGCCCUAUGGUCUGGUAAGCCUGGAGCAAUUUUACCUUUUAUACGCAUUACAUUUUUGAUGAUGAUGUAGUCAUUCUGAGAAUUCAAAAGUGUGUAUCGAUACAUGCUUCUCCACGCCAGGCCAUUGGCUGUCCCCAUUGUCGGGUGCGUUUAGCCUUAGACAUCUUCCUCAGGGCGGAUUCUUCCUCCUUCCACUUCUGCACCAGUUCUUUCACUUCGCAAAUUCUGUCAUUACAGCAUAGUUAUUCGACAAGUUAGCAAUUUUUUGCCAGAGGACCCAUUUCUGUUCUUCAGUCACCAUGUGCAGUCUAGUCUUUGUGAGCACAUUUUCAACUUAAGUGUAUGAUCUUGGCGACACGGUCCAUGUCGACCUCUUGUUCCCAUGUGUUAUGAGGUGAGUAAAAUGUAAUUCUGAGGUGAAAAAUAAAAGCCAACUCCUAAUGCGAGAACAACAAUUUUUAGCAGAAAAGAGGAUCAACUCAUAUGCCAAGUAUAGGCCUAAACAAGUAUUUGGCUCUGGGAAAAUGGGGUUGUCUUCUACCCUGUGAUCUAUGGUACUUGAAAUUUAUUGAAUUCUUAAUGUUACAAUUGAACUGCUACAAUUGCUGCGUCAUAUCAAUUCUGUCCAGUCUUUGCUAAAAUCAAUGGCAUGAUUCAAACAAUUAACACAGUGGAGAACCGCUGCUUGUAUGCUAUAACCUGGAAUUUGAAACACCAGAUUUCGAGUAGCCAGUAGUUGCUCAGGUGCUAGGUGAGGAACAAAGGUCACCUAAGGAAUCAGCUCCUCAUUGUUUGUCCAGUCAUUUCCACAGUACAAUGUGUCUAAUCUUUGUCACUGGGAGAAUUCAGCCUCCUCUCUCCCUCAUGUUUUAUUAGGGCAAGUUGUAGCUGUUCUGGAUAGUCACUAAUACUAAUGCUGUCAUUGCUAAAUUAGUGCUAAUAGUUUGUUUAGUGAAAGCUCUCAUGUCUUCCAUCUGUUCUCAAAUCCUAAAAUUACAUUUGAAGACGUAGAAGAAAAUAUUAGAUGACACCACAAUGUUUGCUCACCAUUUAAGUAUGGCCGGGGAAUGCUGGGACUAGGAGCAAGUUGACAGAGAGGAGGAUGACUAUAUUAGGAGUUGAUAAAACAGUCUUCAGUGACUGCAUGUCAAAAAAGAAUGUCAAGAUUUUUCUUGAUAUUUUAAGCUGCCCACUUAGAAACAAGUUUACACUCCCAGCCCACUUACAUACAGCAUCUCAUCUUCUUACGCUUUCUGAAUAGUUCCUGCAAACAUUGUAAAAUACUUGCAAAAAAACAAAAAGUCCAGUAACUUCAACAAAGAAGAAAAUGAGAGCCCAGCUCUGCCAAUUUUGAGCUCUUUAUUUCUGUCGCUGAUGGGGAUAGCAAUCUGUCAGAUUCAGCAAACUGAGAUUAAAUUAACAGGUAACGGAACACAUUUCAUUCUUACCUGUAUUGCAUAAGGAUAGUCUUAUUCUUUUGUUUAUGCUCAUUUUUUUCCAGUCCUAGAAGCUUACAAUGUUAAGUAAGCUUAGUUACACUAAACAUGACCAAUGCCCGUCACAUGAAGUGAGGUUCUAUUCUCCUGAGCACUGGAUGGUUUCCCCAGUUAACACCAGCUGAUGGUGACCUGCUCUUCAGUGCCAAAUCCACCUUUUUUUUUGCAUAUUCAUCUCAUCUUCCCACCAAUUUAAUAUGCGAGGCGACAGAUGGCUGAAUCAUGUAGAUUGACAGUGUACUGACUGUGCCACUGCUGUGUGCUCCCUGGAGUAGCGGUCAUCAUUUCUGGACAUAAGAGCCAAUACAUCCAACCUAGUAUGAGGAGGGCAGUGGAGUAGUUUAUGUGCAUCAUUCAUUUGGGUGUGAUUUGAGAUUUUACCACCAGGCUAAGAACAGUUGCACAUGAAUUGAUGCCAGUUUGAUUUUCUUUCCUAUGAAUUAAGGCGAGUGUAAAACUGAGUGCUGAGUCACCUAAACCCCAUCCUUCCCGUCUGUCUUUGGUUAGACAGUAAAAUCCUCUCGUUCCUAAACUCAACUGCUUUGUUUUUACCAAGUUGGUGUAAAAGUGUUGUCCUGUAAAGUUAGUUUUUAGCUGUCAGCAGAGAAGCGAUUCCUGCCAGGAAGAUGAGACCUUGCCUCCAUUCAAACAGGAGAGCUCUGGGGCCUUUCUUGAACAAAACUGGAUAGUGUGGCUUACUGUACCCAGAAAUUACAAUCAGUGUCUAAUAGCUGCUAUAGGAACUGAACCACACCAUUGAACGAGGUCCUGAAUGAUUCAGCUGAGCAUAAAGGACAAAAUGGUGAUCAGGAUUGAAGCACAAGUGGAAUAGGAAGUGCCACGCUUUGAAAUCGAAGCCCAGUCUCGCUGGCUGCAUGGAGUUCAGACUGGCCCUGAUAAUCUGAUAUGGCAGGUGUUAUGAGCAACAUUAUGUGGGAAUUGCAUGGGCAGGGGGGACUAUGUAUACAUCUUGCUUAAAAUGUGGAUUUUUAUUGCAUAUUUGCUCAUUUCUGUGUUAAUAUUUUCCUAUCUUAAGUUGGGAAUGCCUAUCUGUGUACUAUGCUGGUGACCUACAUCUGUGCUGUACAUUCCCUGUUCUCAGCACACUAAAAGUUAGAUUUUUUUAAUAGAGUUUGAAGCUUAUUUUUUGAAACAAGCCAGUGUUUUUGAUUGCUCAGAUGAAUUAUUACUGCCAUGGAAUCAUCCAGACUCACUCCCAUUUUAUUACACUAGAAGCUUCCUGCUACAUUCAAAUAAUUCAUGAUACGUUCUGAAAAUUGCAGUAUUACCUGAAACUGUUGUCAGCCUUUCCUGAAAUUCAUUUCAAUGGAGCAUGAAGGAAUCCAUUUUUUUAAAACCAUGAAAAUAAAUGAACUGGAAAUUCUAGUGACCCAUCAUAUGUACACGAGUGUAUCUGUUACAAUAAUUUGAGGUCUUCCUAUUUAAUGGGUAGUGAGGAAUUACCUUUGAAACCUACCUUCUGGCUCAUAUUGCCCCAAGAAAGUUUGAUUUAUUUUCAUGUGUUACAACAGUCAGCUGUUCAUGCAGAGUAUCUUAAAAGUAAAACAAAUUCUCAGCAAGCCCUUAAAAAUGGACAGUUCUUUUUACAAAUUGAUAUUUCAAUUGUAGUGUUUUGUCAAACUGUAUUUAGUCUGUAACUCUGUAGUCUAUAUAGCUUUCGCUAUCAUGGGAAACUGCUAAGAAAUAAAUUGUACUUAAAUAUCA